rnacentral:rRNA from 1 species
CCCUUAGAUGUUCUGGGCCGCACGCGCGCUACACUGAUACGUUCAACGAGUCCAAAACCUUGAUUGAUAGGUCUGGGUAAUCUUUUGAAGACGUAUCGUGCUAGGGAUAGAUUAUUGCAAUUAUUAAUCUUGAACGAGGAAUUCCUAGUAAACGCAAGUCAUCAGCUUGCAUUGAUUACGUCCCUGCCCUUUGUACACACCGCCCGUCGCUCCUACCGAUUGAGUGGUCCGGUGAGGCUUUGGGAUCUAAGCGAAAAGAGCGUUUCGCUCCUUUUGCUGGGAGAACUCAGUCGAACCUUAUCAUUUAGAGGAAGGAGAAGUCGUAACA